UACGUAGGGACCAAGCGUUGUUCGGAUUUACUGGGCGUAAAGGGCGCGUAGGCGGCGUGACAAGUCACUUGUGAAAUCUCCGGGCUUAACCCGGAACUGCCAAGUGAUACUGUCGUGCUAGAGUGCGGAAGGGGCAAUCGGAAUUCUCGGUGUAGCGGUGAAAUGCGUAGAUAUCGAGAGGGACACCUGAGGUGAAGACGGGUUGCUGGGCCGACACUGACGCUGAGUGCGCGAAAGCCAGGGGAGCAAACGGG
rnacentral:rRNA from 1 species